rnacentral:rRNA from 1 species
ACUCCUACGGGAGGCAGCAGUGGGGAAUAUUGCACAAUGGGCGCAAGCCUGAUGCAGCCAUGCCGCGUGUAUGAAGAAGGCCUUCGGGUUGUAAAGUACUUUCAGCGGGGAGGAAGGGAGUGAGGUUAAUAACCUCAUUCAUUGACGUUACCCGCAGAAAAAGCACCGGCUAACUCCGUGCCAGCAGCCGCGGUAAUACA